GGGCCCGUAGCUCAGCCUGGUAGAGCACGACGCUCUUAACGUCGCUGUCGUGAGUUCAAAUCUCACCGGGCUCGC
rnacentral:tRNA from 1 species